rnacentral:rRNA from 1 species
UGGGGAAUUUUCCACAAUGGGCGAAAGCCUGACGGAGCAAUACCGCGUGAGGGAUGACGGCCUAUGGGUUGUAAACCUCUUUUUUCAGGGAGGAAUCAAUGACGUGUACCUGAAGAAUAAGCAUCGGCUAACU